UUAAACUUAUAAAAUGACAAGUUAAUAUAUUGAAGUUAAAUGUAAUAAUUUAAGCAAAGUAAAAGGCAGCCAGAUUAGGUUAGCAAAUCGGCUGAGCUUUGGCUGAGGUAGAGAGAGCGUCAUCAGUUUUAUUUUUUUAUUAGUGACUUCAGUAGCCACCAAAUGAAAUAGCCAUAGGGACAUGAUAACUAUGUGAUAGUAAAAAUAAAAUAUCUUAUUGAUUGCAACAAUUUAAGCCUUGAGGCAGUUUCUCAGGCUCUUUAUGAUAUUUUUUUCUUGUUCACCAGUUUCAAAAAGAAAAGGCCUAAGAUUCCAUUCAUAAAAAGUGUUUCUUCUUUUGCUUUUACCAAAGAUUGGUCUCCUCCUUUUUUCAUUUUCAUCCUUCUCAUCAUCUUUACAUUCCUUCUGUGUACAAUGUAAACCCAGAUGCAAAGGAACACUUGAAUUAAAACGGUAAUUUAUUUUGAUAUUUUGGCUUCUUCUGGUUAUGCUAAUUCCUUAUUUUCCAUCAUCAUCGUCCAUUGUAAUCAAUAAAUGAUCACCUUACUAAAUGAUACAAGUUGGAGAUGAUAAAAUUUUCAAUUAUCAGGUAUAUUGGGUUGAAAGGGUAUAAUGAAAAUCCUAAUGGGUUGCAUGAAAAGGUCAAAGAAUUGAACAGCACGAAGAAAAUACAAGAACGGCAACAAAAAAAGGAGAAACUGAAAAGACGAGAUGAAAGAUGGAACUGUUUAUGUUAAGUACUAUGUUUAAAGAGUCAUUUGAAGGCCUAUUACAGGGUUAACCUGGUCAAUUCUGGAAUCAAAGGGUAACUUAGUUGUUGUGUUUAAAUUGGACAACAACAAUGACAUUGAAAGGAUGAAAAGGAAAAGGAAAACUGCAGUGAAAAGGGAAAAAUCAGGACUUUGAAUACAUUUUUAAAAGCAAAAUGAGACCGACAAAGACCAGUAACUUCAGUCCAGUGAAGAGGAGGAUCAAGAGGUGGACAGGGCGAGAGAGAGAUGAAGAAAGAUGAUGAUGAUGAUGAUUUAAGGAAAGGAUUAGCUGAUUGUGAGGGCCGAGUUGUGGGCUUGGUUCUUUGUGUUCAACAAACCUUGCACUACUUACCUAACCAAUCGUUGGUUGAUCACAAAACAAGCUUAUUUGACAAUAAAUGUUCAAUAAUAUGAUGAUGAUGAAGACAACGAUGACGACGGCGAUAAGGAUGAUGAUGAGGAAUGAAUCUUUUGCCUGCUUCUUAAGCAUUACUAUUUGGACAAAGUUACAGUCAACAACCAUGGUGUUGGUCAACAGUUUUGUAUGGAAAAAAAGGUCAAUUGAAAGGGUAACCUUGUGACCUCCUGGUGAGUAUCUACACUGUGGUCACUUUCACAAAAUUUAUCAAAAAUGAGGAACUAAAGAAACGGUUAAACCAUUCUUUAUUCAUCUUCUUAUGUCUACCUUUUUUUGGCUUUAAGGCUUAACAAGGCUUUUUUUGCCUUGAUAAUUUUUAGUCUUUGCAUUGACCGUUGAGUACACACACACUAAUAAAUAUAUACUUUCAAUAUAAAUGACCUUUCACCCUUUUUUUACCUUUGUUUUUUUAUAUUUUUCCAACUAUUGACCAGGUCAAGCCAUUAUAACCUCGUUCCACUUGAAGAUGUGGUCGGAAUCUUUGGAAAUGCUCAAAAACCUUUCAACUUAACUUCUUAGCUUCAUGUAAAUGCAUUGCAUUACAAUGAUACUUUUUUUGUUGUCUAUUGGCUUUUUGGAUUCAAUAUUUUUUGUGUAUUUUUUUCCCUUCACAAAGAUUCAGAUUCUUUCUUUGAGAAACUGAAUUCUUAUCAGCCUAUCAUUAUUGAAAUAGGUCUAGGUUAAGGUUGAUGUUUGUCAACAAAAAUGUGUUUACAAUGUUUACUAUUUAAGCAAUUGUUGAUUACGUUUUUUUUGUUGUUGUCUCAUUUGCUUGCUCAACUGUUGUUACCAUUAUUUCAUUAUUUGGCCAACCUUUUGUUACUUUGAUCAACAAUGAAAUGACCAAUUGUAAUUUACAGAUUAACACUCAAUAGGUUAAAUGGUUAGUGAAAUAAAGGAUUAAAUUGGUAUUGUGAGAUUGAAAAUUUGAAUAAAUCUAGGAUUAGCUCAGAAGGUGACCAUAUUUCAGGUUGUUUUAUAAAAUAUUACCCUAAAAUUAUAAACUUAAAUGGAUAAGUUGAAAGGCUAAUAAUUAAUAGUCUUACCUGAUCAAUAAAUUUGGUAUAAUUGUUCACAGGACUUGUCGAUACUCCCACAAAUAUACUGGACGUCAAAUUUUGAGCUUCAGGAUUGUCCCGUGUAAAUUUAGAAAUGGCUUCAAAGUAAACCAAAUAAGUGAGGGCUGAACCAGCAAAGGCACCAACAAAUUGACCGAUGAUAUAAUGAGGAACCUUGGACCAAGAUAAUUUACCAACUGAGGCAAGACCCAAAGUUACCGUUGGAUUGACAUGACCGCCUUUUAACGCAAUUUAUAUUUUGAUAACAAAUAAUGCAUAAAUUAAUCAAAUGGACAUCAUUACCAUAAACUGUUUUAAACUGAUUACAAUAAUAUCAACACAGAAUAUAUAAUAUUUAUUAUAAUAAUGAAAGGUAUACCUGAUACACCACCACAAACGUAUAUUGCUGAUGUUAGCGCAAGGCCCCAAACCCAAGGUGUUAAUAAUGGUGAUGAGAUAUUUUUAAGGAAUAAAUUUGCAUUCACAGAAAAGCCUAAGCCCUAAUUGUAGGUGUAUAAUUAAAUUAAAAAGAGGGAUAAAAAAUUGGAUAAAAAAUGACAUGUAAAUGAUAAUAAUUUCACAUGUAAACAAGUGUCCUCAGACCUGAAAAAAUUACAGUUUCAAAUCUAAAGAGUGUCAACCUUUCAUUGUACACUCAAUUAGAGAAAUGUGCAAGUUGAUUCGAUUAUAAUUAACUGAUUCACCCAAUAUUUACUAAUAAAAUAUGCAUUAGUAUAUUAUCUGGAUUUAGCGACAAAUUGCAAAUGUAAA